rnacentral:rRNA from 1 species
AUUGAACGCUGGCGGCAUGCUUUACACAUGCAAGUCGAACGGCAGCGCGGGCUUCGGCCUGGCGGCGAGUGGCGAACGGGUGAGUAAUGCAUCGGAACGUGCCCAGUAGUGGGGGAUAGCCCGGCGAAAGCCGGAUUAAUACCGCAUACGACCUGAGGGUGAAAGCGGGGGAGCGAAAGGCCUCGCGCUAUUGGAGCGGCCGAUGUCGGAUUAGCUAGUUGGUGGGGUAAAGGCUUACCAAGGCGACGAUCCGUAGCUGGUCUGAGAGGACGACCAGCCACACUGGGACUGAGACACGGCCCAGACUCCUACGGGAGGCAGCAGUGGGGAAUUUUGGACAAUGGGGGCAACCCUGAUCCAGCCAUGCCGCGUGCGGGAAGAAGGCCUUCGGGUUGUAAACCGCUUUUGUUCGGGAAGAAAUCCUCUGGGCUAAUACCCCGGGGGGAUGACGGUACCGGAAGAAUAAGCACCGGCUAACUACGUG